CUGACGAUUUUCGGCAUCAUCACAGGUCGGCUAUGGCUUAAAGCCCAAUCAAUUGUUGUACAAGACAAAGUCAAGCCACACACAACAAACAAAGUCCUUCUUGUACAAAUAUCUUCACACUCUGUUAUUCUCUGGGAAGAGAAUUCUGGGCUUAAAUUUGAAACCAUGAGAUUAAUGGUGGUGCAUGGGAAUUUCUGGGUUGUAGUAUUAUUAAUUAUAGGAGUUGUUGGAGUUUAAUUUGUACAACGUGGAGUGUCUCCCACUCCCACAUCGAAUUCUUUUGGAUGCAGAUGUUGCUACUGAUGAUUUCUUAGCUCUGUUGUACCUCUUGAAGCAAAACAGAUCAGAGUUUAAGGUGGAAGCAGUCACUAUCAGUGCAAAUUCAUGGUCUGAUGCUGGACAUGCUGUGAAUCACAUCUAUGACAUUCUUUACAUGAUGGACCGUGAUGACGUUGCUGUUGGAGUUGGUGGCGAUGGUGGGAUACUAGAAGAUGGUACUAUAUUGCCAAAUGUUGGAGGCUAUCUUCCUAUUAUUGAACAGGGGAAUACAACUGCAGGAUAUUGUAGAUAUAGACAAGCUAUUCCUCCUGGUCAAGGAGGAGGGCGAUUAGAUAUUGAUGCCAACUUUGGAAUCCGAAGAGCUUUCCUCCCACAGGGGAUAAGAAAGUAUACUCCACUUCAACAAUCAACAUCUCAGCAAGUGAUGAUUGACAAGAUAUCAUGGGGUCCUAUAACUGUAAUUAUUACAGGAUCACAUACAAAUCUUGCAAUUUUUCUUAUGAAAAAUCCACAUCUAAAGAGAAAUAUCGAGCAUAUUUAUAUCAUGGGAGGCAGUGUGUGGUCAAAGAACGGAGACCCUGGCAAUUUGUUCUCAGAUUCUACUAGUAAUCCUUACGCAGAAUUCAAUAUAUUUGCAGACCCUUUUGCUUCAUACCAGGUUUUCCAUUCUGGUAUUCCCAUCACCCUUAUUCCUCUGGAUGCAACAAACACCAUCCCAGUUAGUAAGAAUUUCUUUGACACAUUUGAGAAGAGUCAGAAUACAUAUGAGGCACAAUACUGCUUCCAGUCAUUGAAAACAGAUCGUGAUACAACACUUGGCGACCUGUUUUAUACGAACUUUUAUAUGUGGGACGCCUUUGCAGCUGGUGUGGCAAUUUCAAUCAUGCAUAAAUCAAACAACACCAAUGGGGAAAAUGAAUUUGCUGAAAUGGAGUAUAUGAAUAUAACUGUAGUUACUUCAAACAAACCUUAUGGGGUUAAUGAUGGCUCCAAUCCAUUCUUUGAUGGCCGUUACGUUCCAAGAUUCAAUUUGACAAUGGGUGGAGUACAUAGUGGUCAUGUUCAAACUGGACUAAGAGAUCCAUUCUGCAUUGUGAAGAAUGGGACAGGAAAAUGCCAGGAUGGUUAUACAGCAGAAGUAACUGGUCCAGAAGCAGUUCGUGUGCUAGUUGCCACGGAAGCAAAGCCAAAUCAGAACAAUGACAACACACUAGAAAAACAAUUUUAUAUAAGUUUCUUGGAUGCUCUAAACCGCCCUCAAGAUACUGGCAGAUUUAAUUUUACAACACAAUUUCCUUAUUAUUACAAAGAAGUUCUUUACAAACCAGAUUUUGGAUCUAAAAAACUUGGGAAAACUGUUGUUUUUGACAUGGAUAUGAGUGCCGGAGAUUUUCUAGCUCUGUUUUACCUCCUUAAAGUACCUGUGGAAGUGAUCAACCUCAAGGCAAUAAUAGUAAGUCCAACCGGUUGGGCGAAUGCUGCAACAAUAGACAUCAUUUAUGAUUUACUUCAUAUGAUGGGCCGUGAUGACAUUCCAGUUGGUCUUGGAGAUAUAUUUGCAAUGAACCAAUCUGAUUCAAUCCUCUCAAGUGUUGGAGACUGCAAAUACAUUAAGGCUAUCCCACAUGGGAGUGGUGGACUUAUUGACUCUGACACUCUCUAUUCUCUAGCGCGAGAUUUGCCACGAAGCCCUAGAAGGUACACACAAGAUGACUCUCCAAACGAUGGAGCUACUCAGAAGCAGCCUCUAGCAUUUGAAGUUUGGAAGUCUGUAGUGAAAACACUUGAUCCAGGAUCUAAGAUUACCAUACUGACCAAUGGACCCCUUACUAAUUUAGCAAAGAUUAUUCAGUCAGAGGAAAAUACAACCUCUUUUAUCCAGGAUGUAUAUAUAGUUGGAGGACACAUCAGCCGUGGUGACUGGGACAAAGGAAAUGUCUUUACUAUUCACUCUAAUGACUUUGCAGAAUUCAAUAUGUUUCUUGACCCUUUGGCUGCAAAGACAGUCUUUGAUUCGAACCUUAACAUCACCCUCAUCCCACUUGGAAUCCAGCGUAGAGUCGGUUCAUUACCAAGGAUCAUACAAAGGUUGCAGGAGACAAAAAGGACACCUGAAGCUAAGUUCGCCAGCCGAUUACUGUCAAUGCUAUAUGGCUUGCAACAAAGUCACUUUUUAUAUCAUCAUGUGGAUAUAUUCUCUGGGGAAAUCCUUGGUGCAGUUGCACUCGCUGAUGAUCUGAAGCCAAACGUGCAAGUAAAGCCUAUCAAAAUCUUUGCCGAAGGUGUUGAAUCCACAGAUGGACAAACUGUGAUUGAUGAAAAAGAAGGAAAAUUUGUCAAAAUUUUGGAAAAUGUGAAUUCUACAGUGUUUUAUGACCUUUUUGCCGACAGGCUAAACGAUACCAAGCAGUCUGCUGUGAUAGGAAGUUUUGAUGGUCAAAGGCGGCAGUGGAGUAGACCACCCAUAUGAAUUUGAUUUUGCUUGAAGGGUUAAGGCAAUUCUAUGACAAAGGCAUGGCAGCAUUUUUCAGUUGUAUUGCUGAUUUUCUUCAAAGAUAUUUUUUAACAA